rnacentral:rRNA from 1 species
AGUGAACGCUGGCGGUAGGCCUAACACAUGCAAGUCGAACGGCAGCACAGUAAGAGCUUGCUCUUACGGGUGGCGAGUGGCGGACGGGUGAGGAAUACAUCGGAAUCUACUUUUUCGUGGGGGAUAACGUAGGGAAACUUACGCUAAUACCGCAUACGACCUACGGGUGAAAGCAGGGGAUCUUCGGACCUUGCGCGAUUGACUGAGCCGAUGUCGGAUUAGCUAGUUGGCGGGGUAAAGGCCCACCAAGGCGACGAUCCGUAGCUGGUCUGAGAGGAUGAUCAGCCACACUGGAACUGAGACACGGUCCAGACUCCUACGGGAGGCAGCAGUGGGGAAUAUUGGACAAUGGGCGCAAGCCUGAGCCAGCCAUACCGCGUGGGUGAAGAAGGCCUUCGGGUUGUAAAGCCCUUUUGUUGGGAAAGAAAAGCAGCAGGUUAAUACCCCGCUGUUCUGACGGUACCCAAAGAAUAAGCACCGGCUAACUUCGUG